CCCACUCCAACAAUUUAUGUUCCUUUUGUUGAUCUUGAUGUUUCACUUGGCUUUGACUCAAGCUUUGGAUUAAACAUCCAACCUACACUUUCCCAAAAUGCUGCACAUGUCCUUGAAGGAUUGUCCACCAAUCCAAGAUUCACCAACAAAGCUCUAUUCUCUCCACCAUACUAUGAUUCCCAAUCCAGCUCUGAUUUCCUUAAGAGCUUGCUAAAAAUUCCAAGUCCUGAACUUUCCCAAGUUCAAAUUCCUUUGUACUCUGCUGGUAAUUCCUUACCCUCCAUUCCAC
rnacentral:lncRNA from 1 species